UUUAGAAGUUUCUAUUUUCUCUCAUCCGCUCUCGCUCUGUCAUUCUGUUUUCUGCCUAGCACCAUUGAAGUCACUCGUGUUUUGUAUCUCUUCCCAUCUUAUAAACCAACACAAUGAGAGCUAAGUGGAGGAAGAAGCGCAUGCGAAGGCUGAAGAGGAAAAGGAGGAAGAUGAGGGCGAGGUCCAAGUAGGCUAGGCGAUGCUUUCUAAAAAUGGAUGAUCAAGAUAAUAUUCAACUCCUCCUCAUCAACAAAAUGUUAACCUAAUUUGUUUAAGCCUCUUUUUAUAAAUUGACAAAUAAAAAUAUUGUUUUGGUCAUUCUAGA